UACGGGGGGGGCAAGCGUUGUUCGGAAUUACUGGGCGUAAAGGGCGCGUAGGCGGUGCUCUAAGUCGGAUGUGAAAACUCUGGGCUCAACCCAGAGCCUGCAUCCGAAACUGGAGUGCUAGAGUUCUGGAGGGGGUAGCGGAAUUCCUGGUGUAGCGGUGAAAUGCGUAGAUAUCAGGAGGAACACCGGUGGCGAAGGCGGAUCUCUGGGCCUUACCUGACGCUCAGGUGCGAAAGCUAGGGGAGCGAACAGG
rnacentral:rRNA from 1 species